AAGGAUUUAAGUUAAUAUAAACUUUUAACCUUCAAAGUUAUGAAUAAAGGUAAUCUUUAAGCCUUA
rnacentral:tRNA from 1 species